ACUGCUUUUAGCUAUGGUGACAUAUUCAGAUCCUACUUUUGCUAUGAUAAGAUCAAGAAUUGAAAACAUAGAAGAAAUUCAAAGAAAGAUUUUCAAAUGCUUACAUGAAUCAGAAGCUCAGCUACAGCAGAUAUCCCUACUGUACGCAGACAAGGAUGCCCCGUCAGAUACAUGCAUCCUUACCCACCAACAAAAGAUUCGUGUUGUAGCCAAGCAUCAUGGAUGGCAGUGGUUAUUAGG